GACGUAGGAGACAAACGUUAUCCGGAGUUACUGGGCGUAAAGGGCGUGCAGGCGGUCUGAUAAGUCUGGCGUGAAAUUUAACGGCUUAACCGGGAAAUGUCGUCGGAGACUGUUGGACUAGAGGGCGAUAGAGGUGUGUGGAAUUCCGGGUGUAGUGGUGAAAUGCGUAGAGAUCCGGAGGAACACCAGUGGCGAAGGCGACACACUGGGUCGCACCUGACGCUAAUACGCGACAGCAUGGGGAGCGAACGGG
rnacentral:rRNA from 1 species